rnacentral:rRNA from 1 species
CUACGGGGGGCUGCAGUGGGGAAUAUUGGACAAUGGGGGAAACCCUGAUCCAGCAAUGCCGCGUGUGUGAUGAAGGCCUGCGGGUUGUAAAGCACUUUCGGUAAGGAAGAAAAGCUUAAGUUUAACACUUAAGAAUUGACGUUACUUACAGAAGAAGCACCGGCAAACUCUGUGCCAGCAGCCGCGGUAAUACAGAGGGUGCAAGCGUUAAUCGGAGUUACUGGGCGUAAAGGGCGUGUAGGCUGAUAUUUAAGUCGAUUGUGAAAUACCUGGGCUCAACCUGGGAACUGCAGUCGAUACUGAAUGUCUAGAGUAUGGCAGAGGAAAGUGGAAUUCUUGGUGUAGUGGUUAAAUACGUAGAUAUCAAGAAGAACACCAGUGGCGAAGGCGGCUUUCUGGACCAAUACUGACGCUGAGGCGCGAAAGCGUGGGGAGCAAACAGGAUUAGAUACCCUCGUAGUC